UUGACCACAGUAGUAAGUUUUUAAAAAUUACCUUAUCCUGUGUUCUGAUUACUUUCUGUGUGUUCUUUUUAUCUUUCCAAAUAAAAUAUAGUUCCUUGAGGGCAGAAGCUAUGCUUCAUAAAGCUUCUCUUUCCCUGUAUAGAACCUACCACCGUGACAGCAUAUUGCGAGCGCUCGAUGAGUACACACUGAUGGAUGGAUUUAGUGAUGGAAAGUACUCAACUACAGGUUUGCAGUGACAGGACAGCCAAUGUUCAAAGGGACUUUCUGAGCUGGAACUAGUUCCCUCUCUCCCUCCUUUCUAGCACAACUGAGGAUCUAAGACACGAAGACAGAAGAACAGAAGAAAACAAAACACGGGACUGCUACCAAUUAUUUCAAACAAUAUCUUACUAUUCACAUUCAGGCUCAAAGUUGAUCAUUAAAAUAAAGAACCGUCAGGGUCGUUAUCUGUGCACGCAUUUGUAACAAUACUUAAAAAAAUCCUUAACAAAAGUAACAUUAGACUAUAUAGUCUGUCAAAUAACAGAGCAUUUCGUGUGAGUAGGUGGGUGCGUGGGUAGGUGGAGGAGGUUGGGUAAGUAAUGAGAAGUUGGAAGAGAAAUAACUCACCUGUGUAAAAUAUAGAACCCCUUUCAAGCUGUAUGGAAGGCAUAGCUGUCAUUUGUAAUCUGCAUUGGAUCACUACCCGGGAGCUUCUUUUCUCCUGACAGAGAGUUCAUCUUAAGUGACUGUCAGUGAAGCCCUCCCCCAGCCCUGACUAUGAGAGCUCCUAGCUGCCCCCCAUCCAUCAGAGGCAGAGCUGAGCGCACCGUCCCUCUGGCGAGCCGAGGUCUCCCUCACUGUUCUCUCUCUCUCUUCCCAGGCUCGGCACCCGGGUGCCUAUCCGAGCCCCUCUCCCGACUUGUCGGUCAAACAGCCUCACUAUUGUGAAGCUCCAUGCGCUGAGAACACAGAGCUUGGGCUUUGCGGCAGCACAUAUAAACCUGCAACUGAAAAUGAUUGAUUGGUCCGGGGACUAAAGAGAAAAGAGCAAAAGAGAAGAACUGAAGAGAGACAAACAUGGUUAGAGAACAGUGGACUGGAAGACUUAGUAGUGGAAUUUGGCCGUUUCGACUCUGAUCCUUUGGAUUAUUGCUUCUAAAAUUACCUGAUGUUGGCUAACUUACCUGCCAUCUCUAUACUUCACUUUUCUCACCUAUAAAGUGAAAUAAUAUAAUUCCUAUGUCACACAGGG